GUGAAUCAUCAAAUCUUUGAACGCAAAUUGCACUCUCUUCGGAGAGUAUGCCUGUUUGAGGGUCAGUAUCAAUAAAAAUCGGUGUGUUGCUUUUUUGUGACGUUACGGUGUUUGGGUCAUCUUAAUAUCCUUUAGGUUUUAAGAGGCUUAAAAUAGACUUUUUUUGUGCAUUUUAGAUGUACAUAUAUUCUUUUUUUUAUUCUUCUGUCUUAAUGAUCUUAAUCUUAU
rnacentral:misc_RNA from 1 species